rnacentral:sRNA from 17 species
UGACUCUUAAUGUAGAGUCAACCUAGCCAACUGACGUUGUUUGUGGAAUGAAUUCACUAAAACAAUGAUGCCAACCGAAACUAUUCCGGUUGGUUUUUUUUUA